rnacentral:rRNA from 1 species
UACGUAGGGUGCAAGCGUUAAUCGGAAUUACUGGGCGUAAAGCGUGCGCAGGCGGUUUUGUAAGGCUGUCGUGAAAGCCCCGGGCUCAACCUGGGAAUUGCGAUGGAGACUGCAAGGCUUGAAUCUGGCAGAGGGGGGUAGAAUUCCACGUGUAGCAGUGAAAUGCGUAGAGAUGGGGAGGAACACCGAUGGCGAAGGCAGCCCCCUGGGUCCAGAUUGACGCUAAUGCACGAAAGCGUGGGGAGCAAACAGG